CGAACACCAUCGCUAUAAAUAAACCGUCGAACUUGCAUAUCAAUUCGCAGCAACUGAACAACAAUACACGAGUACACCACAAGAACAAUACACGAGUACACCACAAGUUCAUCUUGUCGCACAUCGGUCAGAGUACAGUGCGUGAAAAUCAAGGACAAUGGACGCGGCCGACAAGGCGGCCGGGCACGGCGGCGCCACCGGCCCCGCGGGGAACCACGGAGGUGCUCCUGCUGGUGCUGGUGCCGGGGGCGUGCAGCAGCUCCAGGCGACGAGGGACGACCGCAAGACCGACGGCGGUCUGGGCCGUUCCGGCGGGCCCACAGGGAACCACGGCGGUGCUCCUACGGGCGGCGCGGCCGCCACCGGUGAGAAGAAGGGCGUCGUUGACAAUAUCAAGGAGAAGCUUCCCGGCGCCGGCGGGCAGCAGUGAGAGCGUCGAGUCACUGAGCUACAUGUGCCACAGCCUCUCGCACUACGUGUAAAAAGCUCAGCCAUGCUGUUACAAAUAAAUAACGAGCUGUGUAUGUAUGCAUGUACUUGUUUUCCCUCGAAAUAAAAAUGCUUGUGUUUUGUAAGAAUUUGAACGGGAAAUAUAUUUUC
rnacentral:rRNA from 1 species